UCUGGACGCGGGGGGGGGGAGGGGGGGAGGGAGGGGGAGGGGGGAGCCAGAGGGGGAAGCGGGGGAGCCGGACCAAGAGCGAGAGGAGUGGGGGGAGCGGGGGGGGAGGAGAGGGGAGGGGAGAGGACGGGGGGGGGGAGGUACCGAGGGCGGGGAGUACCAGGGAGCCAUCGCGACGAGGCUCUCGUUCCCGUGCCAACGCCACCCUGUCGGAUGGGCUGAACAUAUGAACAAAUGAGCAGAUGAACGUAUGAACAGAUGAACGUAUGAACAGAUGAACGUAUGAACUGAUGAACGUAUGAACAGAUGAACGGAUGAACAGAUGAACGGAUGAACGUAUGAACAGAUGAACAGAUGAACGGAUGAACAGAUGAACGUAUGAACUGAUGAACGGAUGAACAGAUGAACGGAUGAACAGAUGAACGUAUGAACAGAUGAACGUAUGAACGGAUGAACAGAUGAACGUAUGCACUGAUGAACGUAUGAACAGAUGAACGUAUGAAUGAACAGAUGAACGUAUGAACAGAUGAACGGAUGAACGUAUGAACAGAUGAACGUAUGAACAGAUGAACGGAUGAACAUAUGAACGGAUGAACAGAUGGUUUUUGUCACGUAUUUUCUGGUGCUUCUGGGGUCUAAACUUUAUUAUUUGUAAUAGCUCAGGGUGGUCUCUUGUAAGACAGUAUUUAUUGUUUGUGGAUCAAAUUAAGAUUAUUACAUGUGCCUUAACUACAAAAUGUACAAAAUGUGUUUCCGAAGAAGAUUUCUACCGAAGGAAUUGUAUCUACUCCAACUGUACUGCCUCAGCAAUUGUUUACCGUGUGUCCUUAUGUUAUGUCGUUUCGUGGGAUUUUCUGUGUAUUUGUAUAAAUUCUUAAUAAUAAAUCGUUUAUCUCAA